rnacentral:rRNA from 1 species
GAGUUUGAUCCUGGCUCAGGAUGAACGCUGGCGGCGUGCCUAAUACAUGCAAGUCGAGCGAACAGAUAAGGAGCUUGCUCCUUUGACGUUAGCGGCGGACGGGUGAGUAACACGUGGGUAACCUACCUAUAAGACUGGAAUAACUCCGGGAAACCGGGGCUAAUGCCGGAUAAUAUUUAGAACCGCAUGGUUCUAAAGUGAAAGAUGGUUUUACUAUCACUUAUAGAUGGACCCGCGCCGUAUUAGCUAGUUGGUAAGGUAACGGCUUACCAAGGCGACGAUACGUAGCCGACCUGAGAGGGUGAUCGGCCACACUGGAACUGAGACACGGUCCAGACUCCUACGGGAGGCAGCAGUAGGGAAUCUUCCGCAAUGGGCGAAAGCCUGACGGAGCAACGCCGCGUGAGUGAUGAAGGGUUUCGGCUCGUAAAACUCUGUUAUUAGGGAAGAACAAAUGUGUAAGUAACUGUGCACAUCUUGACGGUACCUAAUCAGAAAGCCACGGCUAACUACGUGCC